UAGCAGGAUUGGAAGCUUCAUGCCAUGGGAGCUGUCAAGAAAGGCAUCCCAAAGAGAACUGAAAUUUAAAAAUAAUAAUAGACCUUCAGGAAUAGGUGAUUUGAAGAUAUUAAAGCUAGAAAUUGGAACUAGAAAAUCAAAAGAAUUCAAGGCAUCUUAACGUGACAGUUGAACUCAUUUGAUUAUACUUAAAAAAGUUUAUUGCAGUUAUUGACUCUCAAUUUUUUUUUUUUUUUUUUGAGUGCAGUGGUGCCAUUGUUGCUCACUGCAGCCUCAAUCUUCCAGGCUCAAGAAAUCCUCCCACCUCAGCUUCCAGAGUAGCUGGGACUACAGGUGCAUGCCACACCCUGAUAAUUUUUUUUUCCCCAAUAUAAACGAGGUCUUGCUAUGUCCUCCAGUCUGGUCUUGAACUCAAGUGAUCCACCCACCUUGGCCUCCCAAAGUGCUGGGAUUACAGGCGUGAGCCACCAAACCCAGCCACCAAUUUUACUUUAGGUAAACUUUUAUUUUCAAGCUUUUGUUGGUGUUGCAAGUGUAAAUCUGUUUUAUAAAAUGUUCUAUAAAUAUAACCACUAUUCCUUGUAAGCUAUUUAAAAUAAAUUUUAAAGUCUUUCAAGUAAA
rnacentral:lncRNA from 1 species